rnacentral:lncRNA from 1 species
GCCAGAUUCUUAACCCACUGCGCCAGGCCAGGGGUCCUACCUGUGUCCCAUAAUUUGGUAUUGCCUAUUUGGGGUAAAGUGAACCCUGGCAUAGAAUCCAAGCCAAUUCAAGUUUAUCAAGAUAUUCACUGGAUUUUUUGUGCUAAGUAAUAUUACAAGAUACAUCAAAAUAGUAGUUUUUCUACCAUUAAGAAAUGAGUUUCUUACAAACUACAGUUGUACAUAAUCUAGGUUUGGCUACCAUUACUCAUGUCUGGCUUCCUUUAGUAAUGACAAACAUUUACUGAAAGCCUACUAUAUGUGAGACAUUUCUCUAAAUGUUUUCAUAUCCUAUUUCUCUGAACUGGCACAUCUUUGAGAGGUGGGUAUUAUAAUCCCCAUGUAACAAAGGUGGAAACAGUCUUUUAUCAGGUUAACUUACCCAAAAUCAUAGGGCUAUUAGUGUGGCAAUGCAGAGAAUCUUCUAAAUGGCAGAAUUCCACACACUACAGUGAGCCGCAGUGAAUUAUUUUAAGUAUCUAUUUGGGCAAGGGACAACAGACAAAAGGCCCAACUUAAGAAAAUGUCCUGCUCAAAUGUCCCAAUUCCCCAGCCAUUUUCACGCUGCCUUGCUUCAUUCUUCCUUCCUUCCUCGGCUUUCAAUUCUACAGAUGCUAAGGGUUUCUGACAGUCUUCAUAAAAACAACAGCAGGUUAUGUGCUGUAUGACACCAGAGGGGAUUUUUUAAAAAAAAUCUCUUUGUGCUUUGUAGGAAUUCCCCUGGGGUCUACAGUGUGCAUGAAACUCUGGGCCCUACAGGAGUGUUACAGACAGCUGCACCAGACGACGUAUGGAGAAGGAAUUUUUAGUGUACAGACAAUCCACCUGGGAAGGCAGCUAACACGUUUAAAUAUGAAAUUGUGUCCUAGAUAAAGUUAUGCCAGUUAUUUCACUUUGGAAGCUUAUUUAGAGGCUAUGGUGGUAGAGUGGGAAGGCAUAACAGGCCACUUAUUCAGCUUCUGCGUUACCUAGGAUUUCUUUUUCCAAUUAAAAACCUGCUUUAACUGCCCAAGCAAGCUGGCAACUCCUCUUAAUCAACUGCUCCAGGUGGCUAGGUUCCUUCUUCCCUUAGACGCUUUACCACUGCAACUCCUAACCCCUGGGUCUAUCUGCAUAUCCAUGCCCUUUCAGGAAGCCUUGAAAAAUAGAAUGAUCCACACAGAAUUCUUGAGAUGUGUCAUCAACGUUUUCCAACCACACAUCGUAAGAUUUGAAAUGAUUAAAGAAAAGGUAUAUAUGAGUCUUUUUAGAAGUGUAGUCUCUUUUUCCUAUCAUAGACCACUUUCCUUUUUCUACUUUCCUUGAAGUUUCUUAUAGGCCCUCAAAAUCCCAUCCUUUAAAUUAGAAAACUACUGAAAGAGAGCUAACUAAAAUAUUUAAUUUGCUAUGAUACAGCUUUAUCGCUGAAAUAUUGGUUUUUAAAGUACUUUCUCCUGGGGAAUUUUCUUGAUAUUCCCUCUGCCUUUAAUGCACUUUAAGGAUGGCUGGCUCCUUCUCUUCCCUUAGGUCUUAGCCUCCUUCCCAGACUACUUGACCUAGAGUUUCCUCUCAUCAGUGCCCCUUUUAUUUUCUUCAGAACAGAUAUAACACUCAAAAAUUAUUUUUUCCUAUACUCAGUUUUGUAAUCCAUGCACCCACCUCCAUUCCUUCAACAUGUAUUAAAAUGGAAGGUCCACAAGGGCACAGACCCCUCCUUCAUUUUUAUUCAAGACAUGGUGAAUGAAGAUUGAGAUUACACGGGCAAGCUCUUUCUUCCAAAUAAUGUCCUGAAAUAGUAACAAGUAAAAUCUUAAGGGUCUGCUCCUCGGUCAGAUUCAAGUUCAAAAUCUAGCUCUGGGGAGUUCCCGUCGUGGCUCAGCAGAAACGAACGAAUCUGACCAGCAUCCAUGAGGACGCAGGUCUGAUCCCUGGCCUCGCUCAGUGGGUUAAGUAAGGAUCCAGUGUUGCCGUGAGCUGUAGUGUAGGUCCCAGACACGGCUGGGAUCCCGUGUUGCUGUGGCUGUGGAGUAGGCCAGCGGCUACAGCUCCAGUUUGACCCCUAGCCUGGGAACCUCUAUAUGCUGUGGGUGAGGUCCUAAAAAGACAAAAGACAAAAAAAAAAAAAUCUAGCUCUGCGAUUCACCAGCUGUAAACUCUGGCAAGUUGUUUUCUGGCCCUCAAUUUCCACAUCUAUAAAAUGGAGACAAUACCUAUCCCAUACUGUUUGAGAAGAAAGUGAGAAAAUAAUAUGAUUACAUAGAACACAAUACACCUCAUAAACUGGUACACAAGUUUGGAAAGAAAGUUUGGGCAUUAACUUCUCAAGUUCAAAAUAUGUAUGCCUUUUAAUCCAGAGAUUCUAUUCCUAGAUAGAGCCUUAUAGAUAAACAAUACUUAAAUGAAGUAGGACACAUAUAAAAAUGCUCAUAUCAGCAUUGUUUAAAAUUGCCAAGAAUGAGAAACAAUUCCAAAUAUCCAAAACUGCAGAAUAAAUUGUAGCAUUCCAUACAAUUGAAGAUAAUUAGCAAUACAAACAAAUAUAUUAUAAAUACACAAACAUGAUAGCAAAAGAUGACAGAUAAACAUACUGUAUGACUCCAUAUAAAGUUUUAAAGCAGGCAACACUAGACUAGGAGUCUUCAGGAGGACACAAAGGUGACAAAAGCCAUUUUAAGAAAAAGACCAAGACCAAGACCCAAAGAAAGAAGUCAGGACAGUAGCUACUUUUGGUGCAGAGGAUUUACACAGAGGGUUUCUGGGGCACCAGCAAUGUUGUAUUCCUUGAUCUGGGUAGUGAUAACUGAUUAAGUUAUACAUUUAGGCUUUACGUUUUUUCCUCUGCUAUAACCCACAACUUUAAAAAGACUUUUAAAAGAUCAAAUAAGAAAAGGUAGGAGUUCCCAUUGUGGCUCAGAAGAAAUGAACCCAGCCAGUAUACAUGAGGACUCAGGUUUGAUCCCUGGCCUCAAUCCGUGAGUUAAGGAUCCAUCAUUGCCAUGAGGUGUAGGUUGCAUACGUGGCCCAGAUCCCCCGUUGCUCUGACUGUGGCAUAGCCCUGCAGCUGUAGCUCCAAUUCAACUCCUAGCCUGAGAACUUCCAUAUGCCUCAGGUAGAGCCCUAAAAAAGACCAAAAAAAAAGGAAAGUAAGUGUAUGAAGUGCUUGGAACACUGACAUGAACUAGUUAAGUGCUUGAUAAAUUUUGGCUAUUAUUAUAAACAAUAAAGAAAUGAUCUAUUAUUGCAACUGCCCACAAGGUGAAUUUAAAUAAGUGGAUGUUGAAUAAAUACUGCAAACCAUUAAUUUUUAAUCUAUAUUCUACUACAUCACUUCUUAUAGUUUGAUACUGGCAGAGUUUAAGGUUACUUCUGAAAAAAAUAAACAAAUAUAGUGACCUAUACAUACAAAUACCACAUCUCAGUUCUGAAUGGCGGUAAAGGAUUUAUAACCAACCCCGUCAGCAAGUCAACAGGCUACAGAGUGAAGACCCUGGUAUGGAGGACCAGUUAUCUCACUAUGUGAAAUAUUAUGCAACUCCUCUCACACUAAAAACGUACUCAACAAAUGCGAGCUUCCUCUCUUUGCUGUUUGCUUUAGUGGCAACUGAUAAGCACUUUACAGCAAGGCUAGCGAGGGUUACUGUUAGACUGCACAGUAGAAGAAUAGAAGCAAAAUUUCUGGGCCCAGGUUUACUGAAGCAAAUUAAGUCACUGUUAAUGACAGCCAGAGGCAUGGGGAAUCUUUACUUCAGGGCACAGUUAAUAUCAAAGAACUCAUUGCUUUGUUUAAAAGCAGCUUAUUAUUGAUUUAAAAAAACAAAAAUUACACUUCAAAAAAGUUAAUAUUCACCCCAAAAUGCUAUUUAAAUCCUAAACAAGCUUCUGAAUGAAAGUAUUCAUAAAGAUAUCUUAUACAUAAAAUUUUACCAUACAGUUUAAUAGCAUUUCUUUAAUACUAAAGUAAACUAAAAUGUUAAAUUAAUAUUAUAAAAUAUAGCCAAUUCAGUAACUAAAAAUGGAUGCAUACAUAUGCAAAUCUAGAUGCCAAAGUGGCAGGGUUUAUUCUAACCAUUUUUUCCAUCAAGCAGUAGCCAAUUAUAUCAUCCCAAAGCUACCAACAUUUCCUAUCCGUGCUGUCGGUGAUUGGUGUAUUCAGUGUAAUGCUGCCCAUACAGACUACUCUCUCAAAACAAAGUAUUGUUUUACAGGAAUCCAAUCUGCUCUGGUUAACAAUGGUCUAUUAAUAUCCAGUGGCAUUAAUGCAAAGCUCAAAACUCAAGUGCCACAGAUAAAAGUGGAUGGUGUGACCAUGUGACUUUACAAUGAACCAAGUCAGAACUGCUGAUUGCAGACAAAGAAUUCAGUCCUCUACCUAGCCUAUCAUGUUCUUUACUAACCAUUCAAGACUGAGUUACAACAAAAUGCAUUAAGAAUAAUAUAACUUAAUGCAUCACUUCAAAUCCCACACAACUUGCUAAUGUCAACAAACAGCUUAAAACAUUUUAAUUCAAGUUACCAGAAAGCUUAUACCUUCCAAUAUUACUUAAUAAUACAACAGUGUCAUCUACACUUCAAACUGUUUUUUUAAACUGUUAUUUUUAAAAUAAGAACCAAAAGUUGUCAAGAGUAUAAAUAUAUGACUUAGUGACAACAUAAAUGGAUAAAGUAUUAGAAUAGCAAUAUACACGAUGAAUUAUUUGGUAACAAAAACUUCAUUUAGUGCAUGACAAGCGCUUGGCAUUUCAUGUAUUUCUCACAUGAAUAUGUGCUAUUUCUCAAUCAGAAUUAACAUCUUUACCAUUUUCUACAGAAGGAAACAGGAUCUGAGGUGGCAAAUCCUUUUUCUAAAGGUUACAUAAUUAUUAAGUGGAAAGGCCAAGAUUUAAAUCCUUCACACCUAAACUACCUAUGUAUGGAAGAAAACUAAGACCAAAAGAAAAAAGCAAAAUCAGAAAGGAAAUGCUUUUGACAGAUGGAACUGCACUCAGUUUGCUGUCUUUUUAAACUGAGAACUUAAAGCUUAAAGUGAAGCCUUCCUAGUUUGAACUAUCAGAGAACAGAGCUCAAGAGCCAGAAGAGGAAGUGGAAACUAGGUGGGAAUCUCUAGAAAAAAAUAGAAUGGUAUCAAGGGUAAGCCCUAAAUCUCAGGUGACCACAUUACAUAGGUAUAUGGGUGGAUCCCCAACACCCACCCACACACACCCAACAAGAGAGGCUUACAAAGUAGCAGCUGAAAAGCACAGAACUCAGAGGUAUCAGCUACUGCAGUGGGGAGAGAACACCCAGUGUGCAGCCUGAAUCUAGACAAGUACCAGUUAGAACAAAAAAUAACACUUAGCAGAAUAUUUUUAAAAACAACAACUAUCCACAGUUACCAUAAUGUAUGAUCCCUAUGCUCAGUCUUUAGCCUAAAAUAUUAUUAGAUAGGAGAGUAUAAUAUAUAAUUAAGAAAAAAAAAAACAGGAGUUCCCGUCGUGGCACAGUGGUUAACGAAUCCGACUAGGAACCAUGAGGUUGCGGGUUUGGUCCCUGGCCUUGCUCAGUGGGUUAACGAGGCGGCGUUGCUGUGAGCUGUGGUGUAGGUUGCAGACAGAGCUCGGAUCCUGCGUUGCUGUGGCUCUGGUGUAGGCUGGUGGCUACAGCUCGGAUUAGACCCCUAGCCUGGGAACCUCCAUGUGCUGCAGGAGCGGCCCAAGAAAU